AAUUUAGUGGUGUAGCUAACAUUAUAAAUUGUAAAUUUAUAGAAACGAAAGUCUAAAUUG
rnacentral:tRNA from 1 species